CCUACGGGUGGCUGCAGUGGGGAAUAUUGCACAAUGGGGGAAACCCUGAUGCAGCGACGCCGCGUGAGCGAUGAAGUACUUCGGUACGUAAAGCUCUAUUAGCAGGGAAGAAAAUGACGGUACGUGAGUAUGAAGCUCUGGCUAAAUACGUGCCAGCAGCCGCGGUAAUACGUAUGGAGCAAGCGUUAUCCGGAUUUACUGGGCGUAAAGUGAGCGUAGGCGGUUUGCCAAGUCUGAUGUGAAAGACCAGGGCUCAACCCCGGGGCUGCAUUGGAAACUGGCAGGCUGGAGUGCCGGAGAGGCAGGCGGAAUUCCAAGUGUAGCGGUGAAAUGCGUAGAGAUAAGGAGGAACACCAGUGGCGAAGGCGACCUGCUGGACGGUAACUGACGCUGAGGCGCGAAAGCGUGGGGAGCAAACAGGAUUAGAUACCCGAGUAGUC
rnacentral:rRNA from 1 species